rnacentral:rRNA from 1 species
AGUGAACGCUGGCGGUAGGCCUAACACAUGCAAGUCGAACGGCAGCACAGUAAGAGCUUGCUCUUACGGGUGGCGAGUGGCGGACGGGUGAGGAAUACAUCGGAAUCUACUUUUUCGUGGGGGAUAACGUAGGGAAACUUACGCUAAUACCGCAUACGACCUACGGGUGAAAGCAGGGGAUCUUCGGACCUUGCGCGAUUGAAUGAGCCGAUGUCGGAUUAGCUAGUUGGCGGGGUAAAGGCCCACCAAGGCGACGAUCCGUAGCUGGUCUGAGAGGAUGAUCAGCCACACUGGAACUGAGACACGGUCCAGACUCCUAAGGGAGGCAGCAGUGGGGAAUGUUGGACAAUGGGCGCAAGCCUGAUCCAGCCAUACCGCGUGGGUGAAGAAGGCCUUCGGGUUGUAAAGCCCUUUUGUUGGGAAAGAAAAGCAGCAGGUUAAUACCCCGCUGUUCUGACGGUACCCAAAGAAUAAGCACCGGCUAACUUCGUG